UACGUAGGGGGCUAGCGUUGUCCGGAAUCAUUGGGCGUAAAGAGCGUGUAGGCGGUCCGGUAAGUCCGCUGUGAAAGUCGGCGGCUCAACCCUCGAAUGCCGGUGGAUACUGUCGGGCUAGAGUGCGGAAGAGGCGAGUGGAAUUCCCGGUGUAGCGGUGAAAUGCGUAGAUAUCAAGAGGAACACCUGCGGCGAAGGCGGGUUGCUGGGCCGACACUGACGCUGAUGCGCGAAAGCUAGGGGAGCGAACGGG
rnacentral:rRNA from 1 species